AGGAUUAUAGUUUAAUUAAUUAAAACAUUUAAUUUGCAAUUAAAAAUUAUUUUCAUAUAAAUUUAUCUUA
rnacentral:tRNA from 1 species